rnacentral:tRNA from 1 species
GGUGUUGUGGCUCAAGUGGUAGCGUGCUCGCCUGGCAUGCGUGGGGUGCUGGGUUUGAUCCUCAGCAACACAU